UACGUAGGGUGCAAGCGUUACUCGGAAUUACUGGGCGUAAAGCGUGCGCAGGCGGUUUUGUAAGUCUGUCGUGAAAUCCCCGGGCUUAACCUGGGAAUUGCGAUGGAGACUGCAAGGCUAGAGUUUGGCAGAGGGGGGUGGAAUUCCGCGUGUAGCAGUGAAAUGCGUAGAGAUGCGGAGGAACACCGAUGGCGAAGGCAGCCCCCUGGGCUGACACUGACGCUCAGGCACGAAAGCGUGGGGAGCAAACAGG
rnacentral:rRNA from 1 species